CCUACGGGAGGCAGCAGCAAGGAAUUUUGUGCAAUGGGAGAAAGCCUGACACAGCGACGCCGUGUGGGGGAUGAAGGCCUUCGGGUUGUAAACCCCUUUUCUCAGGGAAGAAAAAUGACGGUACCUGAGGAAUGAGUCGUGGCUAACUACGUGCCAGCAGCCGCGGUAAU
rnacentral:rRNA from 1 species